rnacentral:antisense_RNA from 1 species
AGAUAACUGCAUAUAGGGGCAACCUCUUAUAAAGUCAAGUCCACUAAUUUAUACAAAAUACACGUGGACCAGUGCUGUAUGGCUUCCUGAUGACUCAGCAGCCUCCAAAGGAGAUCUGCCCGUCAGAAGUAAUUAUUGCCUGGCCUGUGAAGCACUUCUGCUUCUAGCCUAAUGAAAGCUUUAAUCAGAUGGCUUUUCAAAGUGGUCCAAAGAGCCCCUCUGCAAUCAGCAAAAGAGACAGAUGGCAAGAGCUACUGCUGGACACAGAAGAGCGAGUGCCAAGCCAACUGUGCACACCUUAUCCUACAGAGAUGGACCACAAUCUACCCACAACAGCCAGACGGUGGAAACUGACUGUCACUGAUUCCUUGCCCAGAACUCAGACCAGCUCUUCCAGUUACUUGUCAGCUUCUCAAUAAGUAUUAAUUAAUGGUUUAUUUUCCUAAUGGGAGUUGGGAAUGUUGCCAUAUACAUCUGUUCAGUGGCAUUAGGCUGACCUAAAUUAGACCUUUCCUGACAGCAGCCCCAGGCUUUUUUUCAAUGGACCAUCAGUUUGGAAGUCAUUUACUCCUGAAGUAUGUCUGUAAGAAAACAAUGUUCUUAGAAGAUAAAGCACUUUGAAUCUACAAAAAGAGAAAGGUAUCUCUGUAGUAGGCUGAAUGAUGUUCCCCAAAGAUACAUCCUAAUCC